rnacentral:lncRNA from 10 species
UUACAAUAAGAGGUGGUGGAGACCAAGGUUUUAGGCAGGCGAAGCCUCCACGUAGCAGGCUUCAGAGAGAAUAGAGUGUUAAUGUUUCUUGUCAGACUUGAGAGUCUGUUCUGUCAAUCUUAAGGCCUCUGUGUUGAUGUUCAUGCUGGUCAGCUGUGCCAGAAUUCCAACAGGGAGAAGGGUAUAAUGAGGCACACCUGAUUCCCCCUUCUCAUCAUGGCCUGAACUGGUUUUGCAGGAGUGGAGACUUCAGGACUCAGGCCUAGCAGGGGAAGGUUGUGGCUCAUGAACCCCUGCUUACAGCCUGGCACCCUCCUACUGCAACCGUGCUCUACGGACAGGUUUUCAUCAUUCAUCCUCAUGUUCCACAAGGUGUUCCAGAAAUCCUCUGCCCCAUUCCACACACCCACCGCAGUAGCCUGGUCAAGUGAUUUCAAGUGGGUCCUCACCACUAAAAAGAGGAAGAUGGACAAACUUUUACUCGCGUCCUUGUGAAGAGCCCACCAAACAGGCUUUAUGUGAGCAAUAAAGCUUUUAAUCACC